rnacentral:rRNA from 1 species
CAAGGGGAGUGGCAGACGGGUGAGUAACACGUGGGGAUCUGCCCAAUGGUACGGAAUAAUUCCGGGAAACUGGGACUAAUACCGUAUGUGCCCGCAAGGGGAAAGAUUUAUCGCCAUUGGAUGAACCCGCGUCGGAUUAGCUAGUUGGUGAGGUAAAGGCUCACCAAGGCGACGAUCCGUAGCUGGUCUGAGAGGAUGAUCAGCCACACUGGGACUGAGACACGGCCCAGACUCCUACGGGAGGCAGCAGUGGGGAAUAUUGGACAAUGGGCGCAAGCCUGAUCCAGCCAUGCCGCGUGAGUGAUGAAGGCCUUAGGGUUGUAAAGCUCUUUCGCCGACGAAGAUAAUGACGGUAGUCGGAGAAGAAGCCCCGGCUAACUUCGUGCCAGCAGCCGGGGUA